GCAGUUGGCCAAUGAACCGGUCUCUUGUGGUGUUUCAGGAUGCUGAAGAGUCCAAAUAACCCCCAAGUGCCUCUGGGCCUAUACAACAGCUCUCAAAGAUUUCAGAACACUUUUAGGGGAUUAUCCAAGAUACCCUUUGAGAUCUUCACAAUUUUUUUUCAAUAAAUAUCAUGACCCUGUAAGAUUGGUAGAGGUCUGAUAAAUAAAAAAGUCAGCAUUUAUAUGAAGAAUGGUUUAAAUAUGCAUUAUCACCUGGGAGCCUCACAAUGCCUCUGUGAAGUAGGCAUUAGUACAAUUAGAAUUAUUUUGUUUAUUAUGAGGAAACUGAGGUUUAGAAAGGUUUGGGGCCACUUAUGGCCACACAACUAAUGUUAUCAGAGUUAGAAUUUGAAUGCCAGUCUUCCUGACAACAAGUCCAACAACAAUAAGUUCACCUCAAUAAGCAUUUACUUAUUAAGCACCCACUACAUGCCAGACAUUGUGCUAAAUGGUAUGCAUACAAAGAAAGGCAAAUGAAUCCCAGACAGGGGAGAUGACAUACAAGAUACAUGCAAGAAUACCAAGUGAUGGCCAGCCAGUCUCCAUUUGAAGACUUCCUCGUUGAUCUCCACUAGUCUCCUGACACUGAGGGGCCAAAGGAGGCAUUCAGACCAACAGGCCUUUGUCUAGAUCUCUUGACAGCUAAUGAAACCAAAGACCCAGCAAUUAGGUGACAGCAUAAAAGCAAGGAGGACUUGAGACCUGGAAGACCUAAAUUCAAAUCCUGCCGGGUCUUCUCCAGAAGGAAUUUCUCAGACUAGCAUCUUCCCAACAAUUUCAUCAUAGCUGCUUAAGAAACUAAGAGUUUAAAUGAUUUGUCCAGGGUCUCACAGCCAAUGCGUCUGAGGCAGUACCAAAAGCCAGGAAUUCCUGUUUUAGAAACAGUUCUCAAUCCACCUCCCAGACAGAUUACUCCGUAUGUAUGGGCAAGUCACAAUCUCUCAGGGGCAACAUAGAGAACUACCAUACAUUGCCAGUCUGUAUUGGCAAAGCGACUUUCCUCCCCAAAGAGAUACCCAUAUCAAAGAUCUCUGUCGAAGCAGAUUCAGUCUCUAUAGACAAUAAACAUGAGACUAUACCGUGAACUUAGUGGUUUCUAUGUUCAUCCUCUUAAUAAAUUCCGUGAAAUUUAUUUUUUAUUACUUUA